UACGUAGGGGGCAAGCGUUGUCCGGAAUCAUUGGGCGUAAAGAGCGCGUAGGCGGUCCGGUAAGUCGGUUGUGAAAACUGGGGCUCAACCCUCAGAGGCCGACCGAUACUGUCGGGCUAGAGUCCGGAAGAGGCGAGUGGAAUUCCUGGUGUAGUGGUGAUAUGCGUAGAUAUCGGGAGGAACACCAGUGGCGAAGGCGGCUCUCUGGCCUUCCUGACGCUGAGACGCGAAGCGUGGGAGCGAACGAG
rnacentral:rRNA from 1 species